rnacentral:ncRNA from 1 species
AAAAAUACUUGAAUGCUCUCAUAUAGGUCCGAUAAUAUGGUUCGGAUGUUUCUACCAGGUCACCGCAAACGACCUGUCUAUGAUA